rnacentral:lncRNA from 1 species
GUGCAUCAACAGUGCGAAGGUAAUUAAAUUACCUUCGCACUGUUCAAACGUUAUUUGAAUCAACGAAGAACAGAAAAGAAAGAAAAAAAUGUAUAGCGAAGGCGCACCUGUUUCUGGCGAUUGAAGAAGAUCGCGAUGCUGGUGACUGUUACCCUCGUCCGGCUACUCUCCCUUCUCUCCCCGCUGUGACCUCUCUGUUUUCCUUGCUUUUGAUUUCUCGAUUCUCAGUGUGAAGAAGCUGAGAGGUAAUGGGUUCUUUGAGGUUUUUUAUUGAUUUCGGGUUGCUUUUUCUGCAGGGAUUCUCCUAAUGGCGAAGAUAAUUCUCCUUUUUAGUCUGGUUUCUCGUUCUUGCUUUCACUCUGUUAUUUUUUUUUUGCUCUGUUUUCUCGUUGUUCUCUGUUUUUUUUCUGGGUUGUAUUUUUUUGAUCAUUGUUCUCUAGGUUGAUCUCCCUUUUAUAGAGACCCAGCCGCCAACCAGUCCUGCCUUUGCAGGACUGUUAUCUUCCACGAACGAGAUCGUGGGUGAGAGCCGUGAUCCACGAUUGGAUCAAAUCCGUUGUAGAUUUUCAGCCUGUUGAAUCGGGAUGGAGAAGACGAACACGGCUAUUCCACCAGCAACGACGACGUUUUGGCAACACUGUAUUCCUAGUAUCAACGGCAUCGUUUCGGCAACAGUGGCAUUUUCAUUUUGACCCCUGAACUUUGGAAUUGUAACCGUUGGAUCUCAAUUGAAUAAAAAUUCCUUUUAAUUUUGCCCCUAUUUUUAUAA